rnacentral:tRNA from 1 species
GCCCUUAUAGCUCAGUGGUAGAGCGUCAGUCUUGUAAACUGAAGGUCAGCUAGUUUCGAUCCUGCGUGAGGGCA